rnacentral:lncRNA from 1 species
ACCACAUCUUCUUUUUUAUAUUAUGUUUCUUGUUUAAUUUCAAUGAUGAAGUAAUUCUUCUUCUUAAGGGUCAACAAGGCUUCACUACUGUCAUAUGAAUACAUGUUGUACAAAAUAAAAUGGAGCGAAAACGUUAUUAAGAAAACAAGACGACUUUACGAUCGGGCUUAUUAUAAUUGUUCAAAAGGAAGAAGAAGAAAAAAGAAACUUUCGUUGAAAAAAUAUUUACAACUUACGUAAAUCAAUAUUUAAAUCUUGAAAAUCCCCCAAACCUUUAGAGAUUUUCAAGUAAGUAAAGGUCUUCGUCAGAUUUCCAUGGACGUUCUGGUUUAUCUUUUAUCCCAGUAACAGAAAAUACAAAACACAACAAAUAACAAGAGCUUGGAUAAUGGCUAAAUUUCAUUGAUUGAUUUUUAUCGUCUUUUAUAAGGAAUAAUUCAGUUAUGAAUAGUUUAAACAACAUGUAUUUAUCGAAGUACAUAUGUACAUAUCAACAACACAAAUAGAAUAUAUUUUUAGAAACAAGCAGUUUUGAUUAUCCCCC